rnacentral:rRNA from 1 species
UGGGGAAUUUUGGACAAUGGGCGCAAGCCUGAUCCAGCCAUUCCGCGUGCAGGAUGAAGGCCCUCGGGUUGUAAACUGCUUUUGUACGGAACGAAAAGGCUUUCUCUAAUACAGAGGGCUCAUGACGGUACCGUAAGAAUAAGCACCGGCUAACUACGUGCCAGCAGCCGCGGUAAUACGUAGGGUGCAAGCGUUAAUCGGAAUUACUGGGCGUAAAGCGUGCGCAGGCGGUUAUGUAAGACAGGUGUGAAAUCCCCGGGCUUAACCUGGGAACUGCAUUUGUGACUGCAUAGCUAGAGUACGGUAGAGGGGGAUGGAAUUCCGCGUGUAGCAGUGAAAUGCGUAGAUAUGCGGAGGAACACCGAUGGCGAAGGCAAUCCCCUGGACCUGUACUGACGCUCAUGCACGAAAGCGUGGGGAGCAAACA